CUUGGUCAUUUAGAGGAAGUAAAAGUCGUAACAAGGUAACCGUAGGUGAACCUGCGGUUGGAUCAUCACAAAACACUCAGUCCUAACAAGGUUUAGGAUUAGCAAUCUGCUGACUGUUCAGUGGAUGUGCACGCCUUUGGGCAAAGCUUUUUGUGAACUGUUAUUUGUGUCUUCGGCUGGGUCAUGCCAGUCAAUGGAACAUUAUGCUCAUUUCCUUUUCUUUGUAUUGACUUAUAACAACAGAUUCUAAAAAGAAUGUUGAAAUUACAACUUCUGGCAACGGAUCUCUUGGCUCUCGCAACGAUGAAGAACGCAGCGAAAUGCGAUAACUAGUGUGAAUUGCAGAAUUCCGUGAAUCAUCGAGUCUUUGAACGCAUAUUGCACUUUCUGGUAUCCCGGAAAGUAUGCCUGUUUGAGUAUCAACAAAACCUCUCCUGGAAACGUCUUGUUUUUGGGGAUUUGGAGCAUUCCUGUUUGAUCAUGCGUGCUCUGAAUUGCAUGUUUACAAAAAGGUGAGCGCAAUCUCAGCGAGUCCCACUGUUUCUCUUUCAUUGGAUUGUUGAAUUUACAUUGGAACUGUGGUUCCUUGUAACUGUUAGCUUUCUUGUGGAAGAACCCUUUUGGACUUUGAUAAGUGAGAUUCUUUUGAAGCGUUUUUACAGAACUUGGUCUCAAAUCAGGUAGGAUGACCCGCUGAACUUAAGCAUAUCAAUAAGCGGAGGA
rnacentral:rRNA from 1 species